rnacentral:rRNA from 1 species
UACGAGGGGGGGCGAGCGUUGUUCGGAAUUAUUGGGCGUAAAGGGUGCGUAGGCGGUUUGGUAAGUCUUAUGUGAAAUCUAUGGGCUCAACUCAUAGUCUGCAUGAGAAACUGCCGGGCUUGAGUAUGGGAGAGGUGAGUGGAAUUCCUGGUGUAGCGGUGAAAAUGCGUAGAUAUCAGGAGGAACACCUGUGGCGAAAGCGGCUCACUGGACCAUAACUGACGCUGAUGCACGAAAGCUAGGGGAGCAAACAGG